AUAUACAUACCGUCUUCUUUUUCUUCCUUUCUGCAUGCUCUUAAAAAGGCUUCAAAUUACAACACUAACAGAAUCAUCAAAAGGGUACUGUAAAUUUCUGCAAAAAGAUCCUUUCUUUGGAUUCCAACAACAAUUGGGGUCACUGUUUGUUCCCUCAAGAGAAAAAAAAAACAGUAGCUAUAAAAGUCUCUCCUUUUUCUUUCUUCCCAUUCGCCUUCUUUUUCUCUUCUGUCAUGUUUGCUUGCUCACCAAAAGAGAAGUGCAAAAGCUUAAUAAGAAAAGAAACAUCUUUUCUUUGAAUCACUAUAAAUUGGGUCUCUGUUUCUUGAAAAAAACAGUAAAGUCAUAAAGGUUCCUCCUUUUUCAAGAAAUCUUGUGUUUUUUGCUGUUUUCAUUUUCACUGUCAGAUGGGUGCUCGUUGUUCAAAAUUCUCUUUUUGUUGGUGGCAUUCUCAUCUCAAACCAUCCCUUCUUGAUUCAUCUGAUCUGGAGAAUGGAGGUAAAAAUGAGAAAAAUGCCUUUCCAGUGUUUACUGAGUUUAGUCUUGAUGAGCUGAAGAUGGCUACCAAUGGAUUUUCUUCUGAAAACAUUGUGUCUGAGCAUGGAGAGAAAGCUCCAAAUGUAGUUUAUAAAGGGUUGCUUGAGAAUGGUCGUUGGGUUGCUGUUAAACGCUUUAAUAGGUCUGCUUGGCCUGAUUCUCGUCAAUUCUUGGAUGAGGCUAGAGCUGUGGGGAAUCUGAGGAGCGAACGAUUGGCGAAUCUAAUAGGAUGUUGCUGUGAAGGGGAGGAAAAAUUGCUGGUGGCUGAGUUCAUGCCUAAUGAGACCCUUGCUAAGCAUUUGUUUCACUGAGAGAAUCAACCUAUGAAAUGGGCGAUGAGGUUGAGGGUUGCUUUUUAUCUAUCGCAAGCUUUGGACUACUGCAGUAGCAAAGGUCGGGCAUUGUAUCACGAUCUUAAUGCUUAUAGAGUCUUAUUUGAUCAGGAUGGUAAUCCUAGACUCUCUUGCUUUGGCUUGAUGAAGAACAGUAGAGACGGGAAGAGUUAUAGUACAAACUUGGCUUUCACUCCGCCCGAGUACUUGAAAACAGGAAGAGUGACCCCUGAAAGUGUAGUUUACAGCUUUGGAACAAUGUUGCUAGAUCUUUUGAGUGGAAAGCAUAUUCCUCCAAGCCAUGCACUUGAUCUAAUUCGGGGGAAGAAUUUUUUGAUGCUUAUGGAUUCUUGUUUGGAGGGUCAUUUUUCAAAUGAUGAUGGAAGUGAGCUUGUUCGGCUAGCCACUCGCUGUUUACAGUAUGAGGCACGUGAGAGGCCAAAUGCAAAAUCUCUCGUCACUUCACUUAUGUCUCUUCAGAAAGAAACAGAGGUGCUGUCACAUGUUUUGUUGGGAAUUCCACAUGGAACUGCAACCCCACCUCAGCCAUUAUUAUUGACACCAAUGGGUGAAGCAUGCUUGAGAAAGGAUCUUACUGCCCUUCAUGAAAUAUUGGAAAAGAGUGGAUACAAGGAUGAUGAAGGAAUUGCCAAUGAGCUUUCAUUCCAAAUGUGGACAAAUCAGAUGCAGGAAACCUUGAAUUCUAAGAAGCAUGGUGAUGCUGCUUUCCGAGCCAAGGAUUUCAUUACUGCUAUUGACUGCUACACACAGUUCAUUGAUGGAGGGACCAUGGUAUCACCAACCGUAUAUGCCAGGCGUUGCUUGUGUUAUCUGAUGAGCGACUUGCCACAAGAAGCUCUAGGGGAUGCAAUGCAAGCUCAGGUGGUUUUCCCCGAAUGGCCAACUGCCUUUUACCUACAGGCUGCUGUACUCUUUGUGCUUGGGAUUGAGAAUGAUGCUCAAGAAGCUCUUAAAGAAGCUACAAAGUUGGAAGCGAAAAGGAACAAAAACUGAAACUGUAUAGAUUUGCAUUUCUUUGAUUUUUAUUGUAUUGAGUUUCUUGUAUUUAUCUACAAAAGCAACACCUAAAGGGUUCAUGAACACAAUUGGUUGUUGAAUGUUAAUAUUCAAGUUUUGUUCUUCCCAUUUUGGAAGUAGUUUUUGACA